UUGGAAAAUUUUCCUCAAUGAUAUAUAUUUGAAAAUUUCACCUUCAACCCCUACAGCCAUGAAUUAAAAACUAAAUCGUCAAUAUUCAUAGUUCCCUCAGAGGUCUGUCCCGUUAUUUUGAACCAGGCAGGAGGGAGAGCUCAUUUCUACGCAAGGAAGAAAGAGCAAUCGAGGAGAAUGGACGCGAAUUUUUUUAAUCGAGUUGAGCACCUACUGCAGAACCCAAAUGCAGAUAUGGUGAAAUGAAGGUCAAAUCAGCGAAAUACGAGCUGCUGAAAUAAUGCAGAAAUUCAAAGUGGAAACUACCAAGGUGCCGAUGCCUCGAGAAAAUGUUCGCAAGCCCAAGCCCGACAAAUGGGCUUUCCUGGAGGAAAUAGAUGCCCCUCAGUGGGUUGAUUUUGCUUUGGAGAGAAGUUCCCAUUGCCAAGAACGGGAUGAUAGCUGGUUCGACACUGUGCAUUCGUUUCAUCAGAAAUCAUUCCAUGACCUAGUGUCUGCUUCUACACUUGCUGGACAAACGAAGUGUAAGGUCAAAAAACCAGUUCAUUUUAAUACAGGCCUUGUUAACUCUGUUUCAAAAACAAGGGGCAGUAAGCAAUUGCCGAGGAACAAGGUGGCAGGAAUUUCCAUAGAUUUAUCAGGAAUGGAUAAACCACACAACUGCCAGACCAGGAUAGCAGAGGAUAAACCUAUGCCAUUCAAAUCAAAUGGUAAUAUUAAUAGAGGUAGGAGUGCUUUUCUGCAGAAGUUGAGUGAUAACACUGCAACCACAUCUCGCUCACAGAUACCUAUAAUUGGAAACGGACUGAAAAAUUCAAGAUAUGAACAAGCCAAGUCAUCAACGGUUUAUCGUCUCAAGAAUCAAUCAACAACUUUCUCACAGAUACCUGGUAAGGAAAAUGAAUCGAAAGAUCAAAUGGACGAUCAAGUUAAGCCAUCAGUGGCUGCUGGCCUUUCCAAUCAAUCAGACGAAGCUUGCUCACAAAUACCCAGUAAGGGGAUUGAAAUGAAAAACCAAAUAGAUGAACAAGUUCAAUCAUCAACAGUUGGUACCCUUUCUGAUCAAUCAGCUGAAGCGUGCUCACAGAGACCCACUGAGGGAAAUGAGUUGAAAGAUCAAAUAGAUGAACAAGUUAAGUCAUUAACAGUUUCUGGUCCGAUCAGUCAAUCAACUGAAACUUGCUCGCAUAUGUUCAGCAUGAGACAUGAAUUAAAAAAUCAAACUGACGUACAACUUAAUUCAUCAGAAAUUGGUGACCUCAAUAAUCAAUCAAUGGCUGUUGAGAUUAGAGCUCCAAUGUCUAGAACUUCUGGACUGCUGUCGAUGCUUAAAAUGGCUAGCCUGAGGAGAAGCUGUGGAAUGUUGCCAAUGAGGGUGGAGGUGAAGGAUGCAGAGGAACCAAAAGACAGGGAUUCUUCUAAUAAGGUAAGCACUGGAUCUUUGGGUGGGAGAAGUAGAAAAAUAUCCAGUAUUGGAUCAAUCAAUAACAAUUCACAAGAGGUCAAGAAAGAGGGCAAAGUUAAGAUAUUGAAAAAUCCAGUUCAAGGUAGCACUAUAUCUCCAAUUGAGCACAAUGGAAAGAAGUCAAGCAUUGGGUCAUCUAGUACUAUUGUAGAGAAAUCCCAAAUAGGACGUGAAGCAGCAGUGACUCAAAAGAAAACCAGAGGAGCUUUAAAAGCAGUUGGAAGAAAGCAAGGGCAACCAAUCAGGGAUGUUUCACGAGAUUUGGCAAGAAGUCAAGGGCAGUUGAUUGGAGGUAGAAAUUGUGAUGGUGUUCUUUCCACGCGAACAAAAAAUGCUUGUAGAAAACCUCUACAGAAUGUACAUAAUGCAGUACUGUCUCAACGCAAUGUUGGCAUGCUUCAAAACCAGAGAUUUGCUGGAAAAGAAAACAAUCAUUUGGGAACCAUCCAAAUGUCGAAAGUCAAGAGAGUAGAAGCAAAGAAGCCUCUUACAACGAUCAAGGGCACUGUGCACCGUCAGAUGGGUCAAGUGGGACAAAAACCCCAAUGGUUUUUAAAGCCGAGGACAAAAACCCUUUGUCUUCAUCAGAGUGGUUUCAUACAGGGAUCGAUAGAGUGCUGAAGGUUUUGAGUGGGGACAAAAACCCUCAUUCAUUGGUGUAGUUUCAAAGUCAGAUCCAGACAGGGUUCACAUUGGUCUUGAAGACUUCAAAGAUAAGUUAUUAUUUGAAUUAGUAUCAAAUUUUGUGUGUUUGGUAACAUUUUCAGUUUUGAAUGCCAUAGUUGAUGAAAUAUUAUAUAUUGGGCGAUGGUUUUUUGGAGAGAGGUUGAUUGAGUUUGGUGAUAUUGGUGUGGUGUGUGGGUUUCUUAUUUGGGCGAUUGUGGUAUCUUAAUUUACAUGGGAAAAAGACUUGACAUUGGCAUGGGAAAUAGGUGAAGGUCGAAGCUUUUUAGCAAGGAGGACAGGUCUGUAGAGGACGUAGCCAUCAAAGUCCUAAUAAGACAAAACAAAAUUUCAACACAACACUUUGUGGUAAUCCCAACUGGCCAUAUAGCUUGCCUCGGAGGAAAUUGUAACCUUUGAGGUAAAUAUUUAUUGGUUAUGACUGCCGCACUAUUCAAAUAGGGAAUUGUGCCAUAACAAGUGAAGUCAAGUGUGUAUCUUAUUCCAAAUCGAGGUUUUAGAUUAUCAACAUCAGAUAUAAAGGGGAUGUGUGAAGCUAAAUACUAAUUGUUUGGCUUCAUUUCUGGUGGGCAUUGGGAAAAAUCCUUGCAUUCCUGUGAGUGGCGAUUGAGUAACCAAUAUAUUCCAGAUAUUGGAGUUGCCAUUACUCAAGCUAGGUGUUUAUGAGGCAGGUUGUAGAGUAUUCUGUGUAUUGUGUGGCGUGGGAUUGAUACAGUCAAGUCCUGACCUCCAGGGGAAAACAAUACCACUCAAAUUAUGGUGAAAACAUUCUGCAAUAAGAGCAUAUAAGCUGCUCACAACAGAGGAUUCAUUGCUGGAAAGGUUGGGUGAAUCGCGGGAAGCUUUGUAGUGUCCAUAUUGAAGUUUGAAUGGGUCUGAAACAAUUCUGAGGUCUCAGCAAUCCAUUGCAUUCUUGGCCAUGGAGAUUGGAGCUCAUUGAGAGCUUGUUGCAUAUCCAUGUUUGAAGAAUUGAAGCCACUGUUAAAGGAACCUUGGCAAGUUGAGUCAUUUGCAAUCUGCUGUCAAUCAAUUAUAUCUGCUUCAAAUAAAGGAAGAAAUUAUUAGAUCUGCACAACCUAAGAUCGAGAGCAUGAUUCAUUCAAUUAAGGACAUAAAACAGGU